rnacentral:rRNA from 1 species
CGCUGGCGGCACGCCUAAUACAUGCAAGUCGAACGAAGUAGCAAUACUUAGUGGCAGACGGGUGAGUAACAUGUAGGUAUCUACCCUAUGGUGAGGAAUAACACGAGGAAACUUGUGCUAAUACCUCAUAAGUCUUUACAGAGAAAGCUUUAUGCGCCAUUGGAUGAGCCUGCACUUGAUUAGUUUGUUGGUAGGGUAAUGGCCUACCAAGACUUUGAUCAAUAGCUGAUUUGAGAGGAUGAUCAGCCACAUUGGGACUGAGACACGGCCCAAACUCCUACGGGAGGCAGCAGUAGGGAAUCUUGCACAAUGGGGGCAACCCUGAUGCAGCGAUGCCGCGUGAGUGAAGAAGGCCCUUGGGUUGUAAAGCUCUUUCGUCGGGGAAGAAAAUGACUGUACCCGAAUAAGAAGGUCCGGCUAACUUCGUGCCAGCAGCCGCGGUAAUACGAAGGGACCUAGCGUAGUUCGGAAUUACUGGGCUUAAAGAGUUCGUAGGUUGUUAAAAAAGUUGGUGGUGAAAUCCCAGAGCUUAACUCUGGAACUGCCAUCAAAACUUUUUAGCUAGAGUAUGAUAGAGGAAAGCAGAAUUUCUAGUGUAGAGGUGAAAUUCGUAGAUAUUAGAAAGAAUACCAAUUGCGAAGGCAGCUUUCUGGAUCAUUACUGACACUGAGGAACGAAAGCAUGGGUAGCGAAGAGGAUUAGAUACCCUCGUAGUCCAUGCCGUAAACGAUGUGUGUUAGACGUUGGAAAUUUAUUUUCAGUGUCGCAGCGAAAGCAUUAAACACACCGCCUGGGGA